CAGAUGACUUAAUGUGCAUGAGAAAUCUUGACCAUGGAGGAUCGUUACCUGAAGAUAAUGAUGGAGCCUACAGUGUGAUCACCUCAGUACCGGCUGCUGACUGUUUUACUGGUCCUGAGAAACUGAAGGAGCAAGAGGCUCAAAAUGAGGAUUCUGCCAUUUAUCAUGUGUACUCCACCAUCUCCGAGAAGCCUCCUCCAUCAGCCCUGAAGGACGUGGUGUAC